CGAUUCCACGGUCCGACUAAAUUUACUUACUCUUAUCAAGUCACCCCAAUAAUUCCAAUCGAUUCCGCCGGCGUCAGGGAACAUCCUCAGCAGCAACAGCAGCAGCAGCAGCAGUUCUUCCACUUCAAUGGCGGACUGAGCGAGCCGUUCCGAUUCCGAUUCCGAUGAGUUCCCCGUCACCUUCCGAUCCUCCGUCCGCCCCGCCCCAUCCCCAGGUCAAAUGUCGAUCCCGAUGUCGGCGACGGCGACGGCGACGGCGCGGGAGAUGCGGAGGACAGAAAGCCUGAUCCCAGCGAGCUCUUCCAGGACUCUAAUGAUGCCAGGGACAUUGAAAAGUACAGAAAAUAUGAAGCAGACUAUACUCAGCGACUGAUGGCCAAGUACUUCUCAAAAAAGACUCUAUACGGAGGUGACAUAUAUGAUGAGGAAUUUACAAUAGAUGGUGAGGUUAUAAAGUCAAGCAGGUGGCCUUGUACCCGAUCAUAUGCGGACACUGUUAACAGUUUUGAGGACCAGAGCUGCAGCGGCUCGGCUUCAGCAGCUGAAACAGCUAUGGCCAUCUCAAAUGGGAAGCAUCCACUGAAGAAGAACGGCUGACCCUGAUGUUCACGUUCUCGUACGUGGGCUGAUUGAUUCAUUUCACAAUUCAAGGAGAAAAUGAUGCAAGAGAAUGUUACAGCUAAUGAGGCGGACUUUUCCUCACCACCUACAUCCAGUCUUCGAUAAUACUCACUAGGCGAAAGAACGAAAUGCUAUAGUCUACUGACCGAUUAUUCAGAAUCCGAGUUUCUAGAGGAAUUAGAGGAUGCCUUCUUGUAUAUUUUAUGAUAAACUCUUCAUUUUGGAAGAAAAACCUGAAAUGAAUGGCCCUGAGAAUUCAUUAAUGAUAGAUCAAGUCAAUACCCUACUUGUUAAUGAGUACCGCAUGUCAAUUUCUA